UACGGGGGGAGCAAGCGUUGUUCGGAUUUACUGGGCGUAAAGGGCGCGUAGGCGGCGCAACAAGUCACUUGUGAAAUCUCCGGGCUUAACCCGGAGCGGUCAAGUGAUACUGUCGUGCUAGAGUGCGGAAGGGGCUACUGGAAUUCUCGGUGUAGCGGUGAAAUGCGCAGAUAUCGGAAGGAACAUCAGUGGCGAAAGCGACUUCCUGGACCAAUACUGACGCUCAUGUGCGAAAGCGUGGGGAGCAAACAGG
rnacentral:rRNA from 1 species